rnacentral:snRNA from 1 species
AAACCAUCACCACCAUGAUCGAUCAGUUGGUUUUCCCAGGGCAGGUGAUUGUCUCUGAUAUGUCCUCCAUCGGAGGUCUAUAUUGAGCAGAUUCUUUUCGGUGUUGGGUGGUGGAACCGGAGCUUGCUCCAUCCACUCCAUGCAUUGACCUGGUAUACCAGUGCUUCCAGGACCGGUGCAAAAAAA